rnacentral:rRNA from 1 species
CAUUACCUAGAGUUGUAGGCUUUGCCUGCUAUCUCUUACCCAUGUCUUUUAAGUACCUUACGUUUCCUCGGCGGGUCCGCCCGCCGAUUGGACAAUUUAAACCAUUUGCAGUUGCAAUCAGCGUCUGAAAAAACUUAAUAGUUACAACUUUCAACAACGGAUCUCUUGGUUCUGGCAUCGAUGAAGAACGCAGCGAAAUGCGAUAAGUAGUGUGAAUUGCAGAAUUCAGUGAAUCAUCGAAUCUUUGAACGCACAUUGCGCCCCUUGGUAUUCCAUGGGGCAUGCCUGUUCGAGCGUCAUUUGUACCUUCAAGCUCUGCUUGGUGUUGGGUGUUUGUCUCGCCUCUGCGUGUAGACUCGCCUCAAAACAAUUGGCAGCCGGCGUAUUGAUUUCGGAGCGCAGUACAUCUCGCGCUUUGCACUCAUAACGACGACGUCCAAAAGUACAUUUUUACACUCUUGACCUCGGAUCAGGUAGGGAUACCCGCUGAACUUAAGCAUAUCAAUA